rnacentral:rRNA from 1 species
GAUGAACGCUGGCGGCGUGCUUAACACAUGCAAGUCGAACGGAAAGGCCCAAGCUUGCUUGGGUACUCGAGUGGCGAACGGGUGAGUAACACGUGGGUGAUCUGCCCUGCACUUCGGGAUAAGCCUGGGAAACUGGGUCUAAUACCGGAUAGGACCACAUUUUGGAUGGUGUGGUGGAAAGUUUUUCGGUGUGGGAUGAGCUCGCGGCCUAUCAGCUUGUUGGUGGUGUAAUGGCCUACCAAGGCGUCGACGGGUAGCCGGCCUGAGAGGGUGUACGGCCACAUUGGGACUGAGAUACGGCCCAGACUCCUACGGGAGGCAGCAGUGGGGAAUAUUGCACAAUGGGCGCAAGCCUGAUGCAGCGACGCCGCGUGGGGGAUGACGGCCUUCGGGUUGUAAAAUCCUUUCGCUAGGGACGAAGCGUUAUGUGACGGUACCUGGAGAAGAAGCACCGGCUAACUACGUG